UUGCACCAACCCCUUAUUCUUAGACUAACCAUAUGCCAGAAUCCUGUGGCCUCAUAAAUAGCAAAGUUGCUGGCAACAUAAGCUUCCCUGGGUGGGGCUGAACCGGCUGCGUGUCCUGGGAAACCCUAAGGCUCGCCCACUGGGUGCGCAGGGGUGAGUGAACAGGCUGUAAGGGAUGGGUGCGGUCCCUUCCCACGGACCUGCCGCUCCUCCGCCUGCAUCCCGUACUCCUCGCGCAUCCGCAGCAGCUCAUCCUCCAGCCUCGCGCGCAGCUGCUCCAACUCCAGCGCCUGGUUCCGCAGCGCGUCCGCCUCCUGCGCGCACAGCCGCGCCUCGUCCUCCGCCUGGAGCCGGCUCUCUUGGCCGCGGCGCAGCGCCUGCUCCAGCUCGCGCACCUCGUCCUCGUACAGCUGCAUGCUCUCCCUCCACGACUCGGUCACCAGCAGGGCGUAGCUGUCGUGCACUUCCCGCAGGCGCGGCGGGGGCGCGGCGGGGCCGGUGGCCCGGGCUCGGAAGUGCAUGGUGAGGCUGGCGGCGCGGGCUCGCAGAUCUCGCACUUGGCGCUCGUGGGCAGCUUCCAGGUCGCGGCGCUCAGCCUCCAGCCGAGCCAGCAGCGCCUCGAGGGCGGCACGCGCGCCCAGCGCCUCCUCUAGCUCCCGCCGCUGCGCUCCCAGCUCGGCAUCCAGGCGGCUGCGGGCAGUGCCGGCUUCCACACCCUCCCUCUGCAGCUCCAGCAGCUCCCUCCGCAGCGCGUCGCGCUCGCCCUCGGCCAGAGCUGUGGACCAGCUCAGUUCGUCCAGCUGCUGUCGCAGGCUGCGCGCCUCCUCGGCGUAGAGUGCCUGAUCCUCGGCCCAGCGAUCCUCCUGGCUCAGCCGGCUGCGCAACUCCUCCUCCAGCAGCAGGUUCUCGCGCUCCAGCUCUCGCACCCGGCACACGUAGUCAUAAAGCCGGGCAUUGAGCUCCUGGAGCUCGGCCUUUUCGGAGCUUGUUUGUAGCCGCCAGGACAGCAUCUUGCUGGGUGUGCCGGACCCUUUUCGAUUAACCGCUUGCCUCCUGCCCUGAUCUUGUCCCCUCCGCCCCGCCGCGCCGCGCCCGCCUUGCCGCUGUCUCGGAGGCCCUUGGACUGGCGCACGGACUGGCGAGCUUCCCCACUUAGUGGCCAGGUCCCGCGGCCGUGGACUUGGGCCACCGCCUCCAGCCAAUCAGGACGCGGCCCGCCGGCCUCUGCGGCCGGAGAGCGCCCCCUGCCGGAAAGAUGGAGGCAUGGUGAGGCUGCCCUGCACUGACCGCCUGGUGGCCCAGGGGGUGCGUCAACACUUGAUCUCUGAUGAUCAUCACUAGAUCUGCCUGCUCACCCAUCCUGAGCAUCCUGUCCUUGGACACCCCAUGAUCGCAGACCCUCAUGGAGCAGCUGUAGAGUCACAUGGACUCAGCUGGAAUGGUCAACUCUCAGCACUUUGAAUGUCCAGACUCCCAGAAGUUCUGGCUGGGGGUAGGGAGCCAUCAGUGGCCCCAAUAAGAGGUUGUUUUGCUUUGACUCCUUAGGGUUUUCUUGCCCUACCCUCCCCCCCAAGUGUUGGAUUGUAAAACUCAAAACUUCUCCUCACUUCUGCUGUAAACCCAUCUCUAAGGAGAUGACUGCUCUGGGCCACAGCUUAGCAGAAGAAAGAUAAAAAUAACAGAAACGUGCAUGCCACUGAUUAAUAUUCCAAAACAACAUCCCACUGAUCAGACCCAAUCCUGAGAACUGAGAUUCGGAGGUGUGGGCUAAUGUCCUUAAAUACAUGACUGCAAAGUGUCAGAAGGAGCAAGCAUAUUAGAGGUGACCAGGGGAGACACAACCUGAGCAGGCAAAGGCUGCACAUUCAAAAAGAAGAGAAUUACCAAGUGGGAGGGAGGAGAGGGCUCUUUGCAAAGGACUGUGGGAUGGAGACGCACCAGUGACUUAGUGCCCGAGUGCUGGGGUAGCCUGGAGCUCUGGAAGCUGGCCCCUGGAUGGAGGAGAACUGCAGAAUGCGUCCUAGAAGGGAGAAGGAGAGCCCAACCUCUCUUUUCCUGCUGUUCCCCUGCCAGGGUCUCCCACUGUGAAAGCCAGUAAUUGCUGAAGCCUGGCCUUGGUGUAUGGGAUAGGUCUCCUGCUGAGUGAGACUGCCACUUGUUACAGUGAACCAUGGGGUCGAACACAGCUACUGUGGAAAAUAAUUAUACAAGCUUAUAAUUCACAAUGCAACAAGAGGGAAAUAACUACUCAAAAUGUAACAUGUCCUAAUCAUUCAGCUGCAUUUUCUUAUCUGUUCUUGAAGUUCUGAAUGGAUAAUGUUCAUGAACAUUGUGUCUGGGUAUUGAAUAUAGAAAUCAGUCAGUGAUUUGUUAUCUUUGGCUGGGACCUUGCUUUGUGGGGUGUCUAGCCUUAGUCUUACCUUUGGUGUACCUCUAUUAAGACUGCGGGUUAGCCAGGUGGUGGCUGCAGCAGUGCACACCUUUAGUCCCAGCACUGAGGAAACAGGGGCAGGUAGAUGAAUCUCUGGGAGUUCGAGGCCAGCCUGGUCUACAGACUGAGUUCCAGGACAGCCAUGGUUACACAGUGAAACCUUGUCUCAAAAAAGAAACAAUCAAACAACAACAACAACAAUAACAACAACAAGGAAAGUCUACAGGUUAAACUUACGUUGUAGCUAUUAAAUUGGGAAUAGUGUAA